rnacentral:rRNA from 1 species
AUACGGAGGAUGCAAGCGUUAUCCGGAUUUAUUGGGUUUAAAGGGUGCGUAGGCUGUUCGGAAAGUCAGGGGUGAAAGCCCGGCGCCUAACGCCGGAACUGCCUUUGAUACUUCCGAGCUGGAAUACGGAUGCCGUGGGAGGAAUGAGUAGUGUAGCGGUGAAAUGCAUAGAUAUUACUCAGAACACCGAUUGCGAAGGCAUCUCACGAAUCCGUCAUUGACGCUGAGGCACGAAAGCGUGGGGAUCAAACAGGAUUAGAUACCCUGGUAGUCCACGCAGUAAACGAUGAUGACUAACCGUCGGCGAUACACAGUCGGUGGCCAAGCGAAAGCGAUAAGUCAUCCACCUGGGGAGUACGUUCGCAAGAAUGAAACUCAAAUGAAUUGACGGGG